CAUUUACCUGCUUCAUUUGUUGAAAAUGUCCUUGAAGAUUAAGCAACCUCGAGAAGGCUGAAGACGCCAUGUCUGUAGAGGAUAGGAUUACCGGCUGUGGAUUAUGACCAUUGCAGAAAAAUAGGGAAAAGGAGUCCGUUAUUCUCUUCUAUAUAAUGAAAGACAUCAACCAAGAGA